UACGUAGGGGGCAAGCGUUGUCCGGAUUUAUUGGGCGUAAAGAGCGUGUAGGCGGCCACACAGGUCUGCUGUGAAAACUCGAGGCUCAACCUCGAGCUGUCGGUGGAAACCGUGUGGCUAGAGUCCGGAAGAGGAGAGUGGAAUUCCCGGUGUAGCGGUGAAAUGCGCAGAUAUCAGGAGGAACACCAAUGGCGGAGGCAGCACUCUGGGACGUGACUGACGCUGAGACGCGAAAGCGUGGGGAGCAAACAGG
rnacentral:rRNA from 1 species